UACGGAGGGUGCGAGCGUUGUCCGGAAUCACUGGGCGUAAAGGGCGCGUAGGCGGCUUUGUAAGUCGGGGGUGAAAGCCUGUGGCUCAACCACAGAAUUGCCUUCGAUACUGCAUGGCUUGAGACCGGAAGAGGUAAGUGGAACUGCGAGUGUAGAGGUGAGAUUCGUAGAUAUUCGCAAGAACACCAGUGGCGAAGGCGGCUUACUGGUCCGGUUCUGACGCUGAGGCGCGAAAGCGUGGGGAGCAAACAGG
rnacentral:rRNA from 1 species